GGGGGUAUAGCUCCAUGGUAGAGUGUGUGCUUAGCAUGCACAAGAUCCUGGGUUCAAUCCCCAGUACCUCCA
rnacentral:tRNA from 1 species